rnacentral:RNase_P_RNA from 1 species
UAACUAAGUCGGGUAAUCGCGCGGCUGUUGCCGCGAGGAAAGUCCGAGCUCCACAGGGCAGGGUGCUGGGUAAUACCCAGUGGGGGCGACCCCAAGGAAAGUGCAACAGAGAACAGACCGCCGUCAAGUGACGGUAAGGGUGAAACGGUGCGGUAAGAGCGCACCAGCGAACCGGGUGACCGGUCGGCUAGGCAAACCCCACCCGGAGCAAGACCAAAUAGGGGAGAGAUAAAGUGGCCCGCUUUUCUCCCGGGUUGGUCGCUAGAGGUGUCAGGUAACUGCCACCCCAGAUAGAUGAUUACCCUCGACAAAACUCGGCUUACAGACUUAGUUACUCU